GCAAACUUGGUCAUUUAGAGGAAGUAAAAGUCGUAACAAGGUUUCCGUAGGUGAACCUGCGGAAGGAUCAUUACCGAGUAACGGUGCCCUCUGGGCGCCUACUCCCACCCUUUGUGUACCAAACUUCGUUGCUUCGGCGGGCCAGGCGCCCCGCGCCGCCGGCCCAGGCUGGAGAGCGCCCGCCGGAGAACUUUAAAUUCUGUUAAUUUUGCAGUCGGAGUAAAAACAAAUGAAUCAAAACUUUCAACAACGGAUCUCUUGGUUCUGGCAUCGAUGAAGAACGCAGC
rnacentral:misc_RNA from 1 species